AGUGAACGCUGGCGGUAGGCCUAACACAUGCAAGUCGAACGGCAGCACAGUAAGAGCUUGCUCUUACGGGUGGCGAGUGGCGGACGGGUGAGGAAUACGUCGGAAUCUACUUUUUCGUGGGGGAUAACGUAGGGAAACUUACGCUAAUACCGCAUACGACCUACGGGUGAAAGCAGGGGAUCUUCGGACCUUGCGCGAUUGAAUGAGCCGAUGUCGGAUUAGCUAGUUGGCGGGGUAAAGGCCCACCAAGGCAACGAUCCGUAGCUGGUCUGAGAGGAUGAUCAGCCACACUGGAACUGAGACACGGUCCAGACUCCUACGGGAGGCAGCAGUGGGGAAUAUUGGACAAUGGGCGCAAGCCUGAUCCAGCCAUACCGCGUGGGUGAAGAAGGCCUUCGGGUUGUAAAGCCCUUUUGUUGGGAAAGAAAAGCAGCAGGUUAAUACCCCGCUGUUCUGACGGUACCCAAAGAAUAAGCACCGGCUAACUUCGUG
rnacentral:rRNA from 1 species